UUAUCAAAAACAUCGCUCUUUGAAUAAAAUCUUACAUAAAGAGUCGUACCUGCCCAGUGAGUAAUAUUUAAACGGCCGCAGUACCCUGACUGUGCAAAGGUAGCAUAAUCACUUGCCUCAUAAUUGGAGGCUGGAAUGAAUGGUUUGACGAAGGCUAAACUGUCUCUUUCUUAUUAAAUAGAAAUUAGUUUUUAGGUGCAGAAACCUAAGUAAAACUGAUAGACGAAAAGACCCUAUUGAGCUUUAAUAACAAAAAACCAAAAUAUAUUGCUUUUAAACUUAUUUUUGUUGGGGCGACAGAAGAACAAAUAUAGCUUCUUUUUAUUUUAUUAAAUUUAUUGAUUUUUUGAUCCACUAUUUGUGAGUAGAAGAAAAAGUUACCAUAGGGAUAACAGCGUAAUCUCUCUGGAGAGCUCCUAUUGAAAGAGAGGAUUGCGACCUCGAUGUUGGAUUAAGAUAACUUUUUGGGGCAGCAGCUAAAAAAAGUUGGUCUGUUCGACCAUUAAAUUCUUAUAUGAUCUGA
rnacentral:rRNA from 1 species